GACGAACGCUGGCGGCGUGCCUAAUACAUGCAAGUCGAGCGAGACUCUUCGGAGUCUAGCGGCGGACGGGUGAGUAACACGUGGGCAACCUGCCUGUAAGACUGGGAUAACACCGGGAAACCGGUGCUAAUACCGGAUAAUCCUUUUCCUCUCAUGGGGAAAAGCUGAAAGUCGGUUUCGGCUGACACUUACAGAUGGGCCCGCGGCGCAUUAGCUAGUUGGGGAGGUAACGGCUCACCAAGGGGACGAUGCGUAGCCGACCUGAGAGGGUGAUCGGCCACACUGGGACUGAGACACGGCCCAGACUCCUACGGGAGGCAGCAGUAGGGAAUCUUCCACAAUGGACGAAAGUCUGAUGGAGCAACGCCGCGUGAGCGAUGAAGGCCUUCGGGUCGUAAAGCUCUGUUGUUAGGGAAGAACAAGUACCGGAGUAACUGCCGGUACCUUGACGGUACCUAACCAGAAAGCCACGGCUAACUACGUGCCAGCCGCCGCGGUAACAC
rnacentral:rRNA from 1 species